rnacentral:rRNA from 1 species
GACGAACGCUGGCGGCGUGCUUAACACAUGCAAGUCCACGAGAAUAAGGUAGCAAUAUCUUUAGUAAAGUGGCGCACGGGUGAGUAACACGUAAGUAACCUACCUUUAGAUUUGGAAUAACCCCGAGAAAUCGGGGCUAAUACCGAAUGAUGCAGCGGCACCACAUGGUGAUGUUGUUAAAGUCUAUAUGACGUCUAAAGAUGGGCUUGCGUCUGAUUAGCUAGUUGGUGAGGUAACGGCCCACCAAGGCUACGAUCAGUAGCUGGUCUGAGAGGAUGAUCAGCCACACUGGAACUGAGACACGGUCCAGACUCCUACGGGAGGCAGCAGUGAGGAAUAUUGGGCAAUGCCCGGAAGGGUGACCCAGCAACGCCGCGUGGAGGAUGAAUGCCGUAAGGUUGUAAACUCCUGUUAGAGGGGAAGAAUAAUUCCGAUCGACUCGGAAAUUGACUGUACCCUCAGAGAAAGCCCCGGCUAACAACGUGCCAGCAGCCGCAGUAAGAC